GAUGAACGCUGGCGGCGUGCCUAAUACAUGCAAGUCGAGCGAACAGACGAGGAGCUUGCUCCUCGGACGUUAGCGGCGGACGGGUGAGUAACACGUGGAUAACCUACCUAUAAGACUGGGAUAACUUCGGGAAACCGGAGCUAAUACCGGAUAAUAUAUUGAACCGCAUGGUUCAAUAGUGAAAGACGGUUUUGCUGGCACUUAUAGAUGGAUCCGCGCCGCAUUAGCUAGUUGGUAAGGUAACGGCUUACCAAGGCGACGAUGCGUAGCCGACCUGAGAGGAUGGUCGGCCACACUGGAUCUGAGCCACGGUCCAGCCUCCUCCGGGACGCAGCAGUAGGGAAUCUUCCGCACUGGGCGAAAGCCUGACGGGGCAACGCCGCGUGAGUGAUGAAGUUCUUCGGAUCGUAAAGCUCUGUUAUUAGGGAAGAACAAAUGUGUAAGUAACUAUGCACGUCUUGACGGUACCUAAUCAGAAAGCCACGGCUAACUACGUG
rnacentral:rRNA from 1 species